GCCUCUUUCUAAUCUCUGCAAAGCUCUCCAAUUCCAGAAAGACAAUUCAUAAAGAAUGGGUCAUCCCACCCAUUUAUUCUGGGCAGAACCACGAGACCAGGUUGCUGAAGGGGAUCUUGAAUCUACUCUGCAAUUUUGCCCAGGGUGGGCCUGGAGCAGAGAAAUGAGGAGAGAAGUUAAGCAAUGGAAGCAAGAGCAGCUGGGGCCUGCCAGGACUGAGCUGAGGAUGUUCAUGAUUGGCUUCCAUUUGGAACUCAGCAAAUGACUGAGGCUGCCCAUGGCUUACCAUUGAGAGAAGGCCACACCAAGGCCUGGGAACAGCCAGCUAUGGGCAGAUCAGGCCAGCACCUCCUAAACCAGCCUGUACCUCCACUUCUCUGUGCUGAUUGUACCAUUCUGGUGGGGAAAUGUUGAUAAGGGGAGAGGCUCUGCAAGUGUGGGGAAGAGGGUAUGUGGGAAAUCUCUGUAUGAAAAAAAAAAAAAGGAUACUGAGGAGUAGGGUAACAAGCUCAUACCACAACCUGAAGGGCAGGUCAGCAAAGGAACUUUACAAUCAUCCCUGCAAAAAUAGGGGAGAGGAGCUGGUAGACAAGUCCACAGGGAUCAAAGAACAAAACAUAGAUUGGUCAUUUCAAAAUUACUUUUCUUGU
rnacentral:lncRNA from 1 species